rnacentral:lncRNA from 1 species
AAAUUGUUCAAAGCGUGAUAAAGAGACUCUUAGCUCAAAUUUAAAAAAAGUCAAACGACUUAAUCUACCUUUAUCAUCAUCAACUGUAUCAUCUUCCGCAACAUCCCUACGUCAUUCUUCAUCGUCAAUCAUUGAAAGAAGAACCUCAACUGUAUCUAGCAGCAAAAAAUUAACUUCCAGAGUUGAAUCAAAAGUUUCUGACGAUGAAAGUGGAUUAGAUUCAAUGGAAACCCAAAAUGGUUCUCCUAAGGAAGAGGAGGAGGAAGGAGAGGAAGAUGAUGAAGGAUUAGAUAGGGGUGAGAU